AGGGGUGUAGCUCAGUUGGUAUAGCAGCGGUCUCCAAAACCGCAGGUCGAGGGUUCGAAUCCUUCCGCCCCUGCCA
rnacentral:tRNA from 1 species